rnacentral:rRNA from 1 species
ACGGAAGGCAGCAGUGGGGGAUAUUGCACAAUGGGGGAAACCCUGAUGCAGCAACGCCGCGUGAAGGAUGACGGUCUUCGGAUUGUAAACUUCUUUAAUUGGGGAAGAAUAAAUGACCUACCCAAAGAAUAAGUCACGGCUAACUACGUGCCAGCAGCCGCGGUAAUACGUAGGUGACAAGCGUUAUCCGGAUUUACUGGGCGUAAAGGGCGUGUAGGCGGUUUGGCAAGUCAGAAGUGAAAUUCCUGAGCUCAACUCGGGCGCUGCUUCUGAAACUGCUAGACUUGAGUGCUGGAGGGGAUAGCGGAAUUCCUAGUGGAGCGGUAAAAUGCGCAGAUAUUAGGAAGAACACCGGUGGCGAAGGCGGCUAUCUGGACAGUAACUGACGCUGAGGCGCGAAAGCGUGGGGAGCAAACAGGAUUAGAUACCCUGGUA